UACGUAGGGGGCGAGCGUUGUCCGGAUUUAUUGGGCGUAAAGCGCGCGUAGGCGGUGCGUUAAGUCCGCGGUGAAAUCUCCCGGCUCAACUGGGAGGGUGCCGAGGAAACUGGCGUGCUGGAGGACGGCAGAGGAAGGUGGAAUUCCCGGUGUAGUGGUGAAAUGCGUAGAGAUCGGGAGGAACACCAGUGGCGAAAGCGGCCUUCUGGGCCGGUCCUGACGCUGAGGCGCGAAAGCGUGGGGAGCGAACCGG
rnacentral:rRNA from 1 species